GGCUCUGUGGCGCAAUGGACAGCGCAUUGGACUUCUAGGAGAGAAGAAGGCAUUAAAGGUUGUGGGUUCGAGUCCCACCAGAGUCA
rnacentral:tRNA from 1 species